UGGUGAGUUCAGGGCAGCCAACCAGGUGAUUAAACCCAACACCCCCUCAUCAGAAAAUGAGUUAAAAUACACUGGAUAUUUAUACUGCCCAGAAAUUUGAGAGCCUACAUCUCAACCAUGAUAGCAAAUUAAAUUGUUUGCUAUGAGGGAACUAUUGCUUUUGAAUUACCACCCAAGCCAGGUCAGACAAGGGCUGCCUUAUGUAAGCCAGAAGAAUUUUGGUAGACCUAUAAUGUUUUAGACUCCCAGCAUAUGGUUAUCUCAUGGCUGCAACAAUAUUUUUAUUAAGAAUGCAUGUUCAUUUUCAGUGAGCAAGAGUUUGUGCGUUUGCACACUGUGAAGCAGUGGCUGCGAGGGGAAGAGACAAAUAUGUUGCCACGCAAAAAGAAUAACCUGAAGAGAUUAAAAGAAAAAUGCUCUCCUGGUGAAGGGUGAAGAUUGUCAUCGAAUAAUAUAAACUAUAUCUCAUCAAAGUGGCCGAGGGGAGGAGGCGGCAGGUUCUCCUGCAUCAGAACAUAUUGCGCAUCCUUGCCCAGUAUCAUGAUGAUGCAGGCCACUGUGGUCAACAUACCACAGAGGAAAACAUUGCCUCUUAUUAUUACUGGCCAAGGACAUUAUGUCAAAGACUAUGUGAUUAGACAGUACAUUGCGUGUUCAGUUUCACCAUGUCAGUGAUGCUUAUACCUGUGAAAAGUCCUAUUGUAAAGAAGAGGAAUAUUGUCUCUGUGAAGUUAACAAGUUGCCUGUAUCAGAUUGCAUCUUGAUUAUUGAGGAACAUUUUAGUCUUAUCACUUGUAUAUUUUUGC